rnacentral:rRNA from 1 species
UACGUAGGUGGCAAGCGUUAUCCGGAAUCAUUGGGCGUAAAGGGUGCGUAGGUGGCGUACUAAGUCUGUAGUAAAAGGCAAUGGCUCAACCAUUGUAAGCUAUGGAAACUGGUAUGCUAGAGUGCAGAAGAGGGCGAUGGAAUUCCAUGUGUAGCGGUAAAAUGCGUAGAUAUAUGGAGGAACACCAGUGGCGAAGGCGGUCGCCUGGUCUGUAACUGACACUGAGGCACGAAAGCGUGGGGAGCAAAUAGG